CAGUACUAUGUUCCCUCUAAGGUGUGCGGCUGCGCGCCCGCGCACAAUAUUAUGUCCCACGCUCAGUCACUUCAAGCAGUCUCCCUCUGAUGGCGGCAUAAAGUGCCCACCCCUGCCGCCGCAAUAGCUCUUGCCGCCAGAGCUUAAAAUGCCGGAGCGGUGUUUUUCACCGCCCACUACAUCUAGCAUUUCCUUCACUGACUCAUGACUCCUGGGGGUGGAGCGGGGAGUCAGAGCCAACAGAAACGGCUGGCCCGUCCUCGCCUGCCUUCCGGCCUCCACUUGCGACCAGGCAGGAUGUUACAUGCAGCCUGUCACAUGUUUGUUGGGGUUUUUUGCUAGGCCAGAGGCCUGGGCAGUUUCAGCCAGUUGCAUUGGGGGACUCUGGUGGUGGCCCUCAGAGACGCGGCAGGAAGGCAUCAGGAGUUGCUCUGCAGCAGGGCGGCAGUUUGUGUGAGCGGCGGAGGGUAGCGGUGUCACAGAGGGGCCUACCCCCAGCAUACUUGAUUACUCUUGGGACCUCCUCGGUGCUGAGGGGGCUUUAUCCUGGCAUUUCUGGGUGACCUGCCAUCCAAGGCCCCAAUGUUUUUGCCUGUGGGCGGGAGCUCUUCUCCCCGCUCAUGUAUGCAGCUGGGUGUUUCUCACUCUGCAGUGAGCAGCAUUUGAAAUGUUAUUACACAAGCUGCUGCUCCCUUCUGCAAGCGCCCGAGUUAGUAAAAAGAGAAGUUCAUUUCAGGCAGCGCCACUGACAGAAAAGCAAGGCACACAGAGGGAGAGAGGAAGUGUAAAAGAUAACAGAUAGUCACCACCAACAUGGAGGUAAAUCCUUAAGAGAUUGAAAGGCAAUUUUCAAGGAACUGCCAUCUAUCUAUUCUCUCUCAAAACAAAGAGACACUUCUCCAAGGUAGGUAAAAUUACACCUUUGUCUUGCAUGGGAACAAACCUGGGUGGAGAAGUGGAUGGAAG